AUGAACGCUGGCGGCGUGCCUAAUACAUGCAAGUCGAGCGAACGGACGAGAAGCUUGCUUCUCUGAUGUUAGCGGCGGACGGGUGAGUAACACGUGGAUAACCUACCUAUAAGACUGGGAUAACUUCGGGAAACCGGAGCUAAUACCGGAUAAUAUUUUGAACCGCAUGGUUCAAAAGUGAAAGACGGUCUUGCUGUCACUUAUAGAUGGAUCCGCGCUGCAUUAGCUAGUUGGUAAGGUAACGGCUUACCAAGGCAACGCUGCAUAGCCGACCUGAGGGGGUGACAGGCCACACGGGACGUGAGCACCGGGCCAGACUCAGAGGGGAGGCAGCGGUAGGGAAUCUUCCGGAAUGGGCGAAAGCCUGAGGGAGCAAGGCGGGGGGGGUGAAGAAGGUCUGCGGUUCGUAAAACCCUUUUAUUAGGGAAGAAAAUAUGGGUAAGUAACGGUGCAAAUCUGGGCGGUACCUAAGCAGAAAACCAGGGCAAAUUGCGU
rnacentral:rRNA from 1 species